rnacentral:miRNA from 1 species
UUGAAGAAUAUGUCUGGUUGAUCCAGUCCACUUAAUUCUGAGAAAGUCCACAGAUUGGAUCGGGUCUUGGAUUUUAGCUGGAUUCAUUGACUGGGUUAUAUUUGUCAUA